rnacentral:lncRNA from 1 species
GCAGAAUGUCUGUCUUUCUCCUUCUGAUUUCUUAAGUGCCAGAAAGCUCUGUGUCUUAGUGCAUGUUCUAUAAUUCAAAAUAACAAAUUGGUAUGUUGCUAUUGGGCUUAAAAUGCUUUACAAUUGCUUAGUGCUUUGUUGUUUAGCAUGAGGCAGAGGUGUCCCUUUCUUUCUUUCUUUCUCUCCCUCCCUCUCUCUCUCUCUCUCUCUCUCUCUCUUUCUUUCUUUUUAGCUAACAUCAAACAAGCAGCCAGAAACUUCAUUUCAGAUGGAAAUCUCAGUAAAGGCUCAGAAGGGGAAAGCAAAUACAGUAAGAAUGCAGCAUUUUGUGGUUUACAUUUUUUCCUCUAGAGGGUAUACAUCAGAUUCACAUGCCCACACAUCCUCUCCUGUCAAAUCAGCUUUGCACGUAAUUUCUGUGACUUUUGGUGCCAACUGAACACAACACUGGUCUGAAGCUUUAAAAAAAAUAGAAUCAAAAUUCCCUAGCCUGAAAUUCCCUUCUGAAAUUUUGCAGGUUAGUUUCCUAAGUGCACUUCUAUGAUUUAUACAAUUUUCAUACUAUUGAAAAUUGUAUAAAUCAUACAAUCUUUUCUUUCUUCCAUUUAAGUCUUUUCUUUCUUCCAUUUAAGAUUUAAAAUCAAUCUUAAAAGCACCUAGCACAAAAUAACCUGUAUCUAUCAUUCUAAAGUUUGUCAGCUUUCUGACUGAGGGUCACCUCUGUUUUCAUAAAAAAUCAACUGUAAAAAAAGGGGGGAUAUUAAGUGAAUUUUUUUACCUUCUAAAAUAUGAAAAUAUUGUCCUUGCAUGAACACCCAUUCACCUCCUCUAAAUGGGCUACCAUGCCUGUAAAUGUCACCCAGUUUGCCAAAAUUUAAAGGAAGUUAUAGACUAUUCCAUUUGUUAAAAAAUCAGUAUGUCCAAAACAAAACCCUGGACCUAUUUGUCUGGAAUCUACCAUGUUUUGUCCACUAAGGAGUAGCUGCCUUGUCUGCAAAUUUCAUCUAAUUUUGCCCAAAAAAAUAGCUUUAAAACAACAACAGCAACCCCAUAGCAGUGAUUAGGGAGACAUGAAGCUUUGGUUUCCUAAAUCAGGAUUUGGAUUUGGACCUAAGAUGAAUUGGUCAGUCUCCACAUCAGUCCAAGCUGAAUCAGACAGUGGUUUAAGAAAGAAAGAAAGAAAGAAAGAAAGAAAGAAAGAAAGAAAGAAAGAAAUUGGGCAGGUUUUUUAAAUGAUUAAUCAGGAUCCAAACUGAAUCAUGUGGUCAGUUCAAACUCCUAAUUUUCACAUGUCCCAGAUAUGUGACUGAAUACUGUGUGUGUGUGUGUGUGUGUGAAUAAAUAGUAGGAGUCUUAACUUACAUGGCUGAGGUUUAGAUCAGCCUCUUCCUGCCACACCACAGCCAGAGAUUUUAACAAAUCUCCUCAACAGAAUAUUAUCACUGUGCCUGAAAGAUGCACAUUGUGAUGCCAUGUUCCUUCUCCACAAAGCCAUUGUUAUGAGUUUUCUACCAUAUUUUUCUGAAUAGGAAUCUCACUGUGGGUUUCCUUAAGUCAGAGGUGGAAAAUGUUUUUCUUUUCAGUGAUUCAUCGGUGGGCAGGGGGGAAUCAAUCAGGAUGCCCCCAUGGUUAUUCCCCCCCCCCCCCGUGGAUCAAUGGCCCAUAGGAUGCCUUUGAAAGAGCAGAUUGGAUUGGCUGGUGGGAAGGAGGUUGCCUGAGGAGAGCUUUGGAGAUACAUAUCAUGCCAGCUGACAGCCAAUCUAGUCCACUGUUUGGAGAAAUAGGGGUGAACUUAAUACUCUUAUUGAUCUGCUUGAGAAUCCUGGAGCACAGAUUAUCUUCUCCAGUCAAUACUCAACACUAACAAUGAAGAUAGACUCAGAAAGCUGAUGCUGCAGCAAAUGUAAGUAGUAAUAUCCAAGUCUAUAUCCAAAGAACUGCUCUUAUUCUUUCGAUAUCCUAAGUACUAUUGCUUUUCUGCCUCAUGUAUAGCAAAAAAGACCUCUCACAUGUUUUGCUCUCCCAGCUCUCCCACCAUUCAGCAAAUCUUCUCUUACAUUGGAAUGGAAGACCUCCAGUUCAUGGUUCAAAUUUGGCCUAGAAAGCCACCACCCCCAAACCACAUCCACCUGCCGCACUCCUGACAUCAAAUAUGAGGUGGGUAAAGAUGUGACUGGAUUGGCUGUGUGAACAAGUCCCACAAGUUCCACACAGCCUAUCUCUGCGAAGGUAGGCUUGAAGUCCCCACCCUUUUAGACUGACUCCACCAACCCUAAUCUGCUCUUAUCCAAAAAGGACUUUGUCCACGCUUUCUGGGCUACAGGAAAAUCAUCUGCUGUCUAAACGCCCCACUAAAUGCCACUUUGCUUUCAUCAUCUUAUCCAGAACAGAAAGCAUAAACAGAUUGGUUGUAAUCUUGUUACUUUACUCUUGCUCUUUAUUAGCCAAAAUCAGGCCAACAUCCUUUUGAAGCCUGUCCAAAAUGGAUUGUAUCUCUGCCUAGUGGGAAGGACCAUUAACAAUGUCAUCCCUUGCUUAUAAAUGUGCUGGGGAAAGUUUAUUCACUGGCAGGCUGCGUUAUUGGCAAGAAGGCAGCAGUUAGCAUUAGGGAAACAGCCAAGAAAGGUCAUACAUUAAGAAAAAUACACACUAAACUCUGGAUAGUCUUUUUGUGCAUUCUAGGGAACAUGGGCAUAAUGAGAACAAUGUCACCCCUCCUACCUCCUGAACAUAAGCUGUCUAUUAAAGUACAAUUAGCCUUCAUCCAAUGUGUGGGGAGCAAGAAUAAUACAUAGGGUUGCCAUACAUCCUCUUUUUCUAGGACACGUCCUCUUUUUCAGUAGUAAAAUUUCUGUCUGGGUGGAUUUCUCGAAUUUACCAAAAUGUCCAGGGGGGUUUCUUUGGUACCCAAUUUUUCCCUCCCUGGUGCCCUCCCAUGUCACUCCAGUGUGAAAUGAAGGAACUGCAGAGGAAGGUGCAGAGUAUUUCUUUGCAUUGUAAGACUGUCUAUUUUGUAAGUGUCAGAAAUAUACCAUAAAAGUGAUGCUGGCAUAUGUCUGAUCAGUGGGGAAUGCUAGACAGGGUUAGUUUUGUGGGGAGAAGAGUGUUUCUUGGUUCCAUCUCUCCCAUGGAAUGCUUUUAACUUUGCUUGACAGUUCUGUUAAACUAAACAAAUUUGUUAUAUUUUACUUUGUUAGUUCACUCUUUUUGCUGGGGGCAUAAUAUGGACAAUAAUUGGUGGACCUGUUUAUCAGAUGGGUGUCAGGAAUAUUAAGAAGCUACCAAGAGCUGGACUCAAUAACAGUCAGAUCCCUUCCAUCCCAACAAUUCCCUUCCUCUUGCAGCAGUAUUGAAUUAUUGGGUUUUUAAAGAUGGGAGGGGGGAUAUUUCCAAGGGGUAAUAAAGUAGAGAAAACAAAUGUUGGAAAAGUGUAUAUGAUGAGAACUUUGUGUCUUCAAAAGCACUGAUGCUUCUUUGCCAAAAGCUUAUGUCAAAUAUAUAACAGGGGCUGUUCUUCACAGUUUAAGCAGCUUUUAAUGUUAAAUGAAAGUUUGCCCUUAGUAAUAAAAUGCCACCAGUGCAAAUAGAAAUGAAAGGAAUAGUUGUGGCCUCCCGAAGAAGCUCCUUUAUUAUGAAAAUUGUGAAGAGUAAAAUGAAAAAGAUUUUUGAUCUAAAAAACAGAGAUCGCAGCCCCUGCUCAGCUGGAAGUUGCCGGGGGUGAUAGGGAAGUCAUGCUGGCCCAAUGAAACCUACCUCGUAGGACUUGGUAUGUUCUGGGUUAUGACUUCCUGUGAUGUUAUUGUUCACUAUUCUUUCAUUUUAUGAAUGCAUGCUUACAUGUACAAAAUUUAAUAAAAAGGGAGGGAUCCACCCUAACUGCUGUUAAGUUUUAGAACACUAAUGGUUGGUUUGGAUUGUCACUUUCUUUUGAAAAGAAUUCGUAUUACACUCUUUAUUGCAAUGUCAUACUGAAUUGUUAUGUAUUUUGCUGUUGUAUCGUGAGGUGCUAUAUGAGAAAGUGGUGUACAAAUGGAA